GGAGGGGUGGCAGAGCGGUUGAAUGCGGCGGUCUCGAAAACCGUUAUAGGCCGGACAGGUCUAUCGAGGGUUCGAAUCCCUCCCCCUCCG
rnacentral:tRNA from 1 species